rnacentral:lncRNA from 1 species
GAUCUACAGAUAUACCUGGGGCAAGAGAGCACUCAGGCGGGGCAAGCACAGAACAUCAAAAAGAUACUCAGUAAAGUAGCACCAGCGCUAUAUAUGGGGUGCGUUCUAUGGUGGGACUAUCUGCCUGAGAUCAGUCAGAUGACGUCCGAUCUGGAACGAUUGAGAAAAAUCACUAAUGAGAUUAUUGCUAGUGAGGGAUUAACCGAAGCACUUCAAACUGCCAUGAAGAGGGAGAAUAUCGAGGAGAGGUUAUUGCCUAAAAUAGCGCCGGAGGAUAGGUCGGCAAGAGCCACCGCUAUAUGGAUAGCGGGGAUAGUGCUUUCCAUAGCCAU